GAUGAAGAACGCAGCGAAAUGCGAUAAGUAAUGUGAAUUGCAGAAUUCAGUGAAUCAUCGAAUCUUUGAACGCACAUUGCGCCCGCCAGUAUUCUGGCGGGCAUGCCUGUUCGAGCGUCAUUUCAACCAUCAAGCCCCCGGGCUUGUGUUGGGGACCUGCGGCUGCCGCAGGCCCUGAAAAGCAGUGGCGGGCUCGCUGUCACACCGAGCGUAGUAGAUUUUAUCUCGCUCAGGGCGUGCUGCGGGUUCCGGUCGUUAAACCACCUUCAUAACCCAAGGUUGACCUCGGAUCAGGUAGGAAGACCCGCUGAACUUAAGCAUAUCAAUAAGCGGAGGA
rnacentral:misc_RNA from 1 species